UACGUAGGUGGCAAGCGUUGUCCGGAUUUAUUGGGUUUGAAAGGGUGCGUAGGCGGCUUAAUAAGUCAGUGGUGAAAGCCGAUCGCUUAACGAUCGAACUGCCAUUGAUACUGCUAGGCUUGAGUGCAGUCGAGGUAGGCGGAAUUGACGGUGUAGCGAUGAAAUGCUUAGAUAAUCGUCAAGAACACCGAUAGUGAAGACAGCUUACUAGACUGU
rnacentral:rRNA from 1 species